GUUUGAUCAUGGCUCAGAACGAACGCUGGCGGCAGGCCUAAUACAUGCAAGUCGAGCGCGCCCUUCGGGGUGAGCGGCGGACGGGUGAGUAACGCGUGGGAAUAUGCCCUUCUCUAAGGAAUAGCCUCUGGAAACGGAGAGUAAUACCUUAUACGCCCUUUGGGGGAAAGAUUUAUCGGAGAAGGAUUAGCCCGCGUUAGAUUAGUUUGUUGGUGGGGUAAUGGCCUACCAAGACUGUGAUCAAUAGCUGAUUUGAGAGGAUGAUCAGCCACAUUGGGACUGAGACACGGCCCAAACUCCUACGGGAGGCAGCAGUGGGGAAUCUUGCACAAUGGAGGAAACUCUGAUGCAGCGAUGCCGCGUGAGUGAAGAAGGCCCUUGGGUUGUAAAGCUCUUUCGUCGGGGAAGAAAAUGACUGUACCCGAAUAAGAAGGUCCGGCUAACUUCGUGCCAGCAGCCGCGGUAAUACGAAGGGACCUAGCGUAGUUCGGAAUUACUGGGCUUAAAGAGUUCGUAGGUGGUUGAAAAAGUUAGUGGUGAAAUCCCAGAGCUUAACUCUGGAACUGCCAUUAAAACUUUUCAGCUAGAGUAUGAUAGAGGAAAGCAGAAUUUCUAGUGUAGAGGUGAAAUUCGUAGAUAUUAGAAAGAAUACCAAUUGCGAAGGCAGCUUUCUGGAUCAUUACUGACACUGAGGAACGAAAGCAUGGGUAGCGAAGAGGAUUAGAUACCCUCGUAGUCCAUGCCGUAAACGAUGUGUGUUAGACGUUGGAAAUUUAUUUUCAGUGUCGCAGGGAAACCGAUAAACACACCGCCUGGGGAGUACGACCGCAAGGUUAAAACUCAAAUGAAUUGACGGGGACCCGCACAAGUAGUGGAGCAUGUGGUUUAAUUCGAAGAUACGCGCAGAACCUUACCAACACUUGACAUGUUCGUCGCGACUCUAAGAGAUUAGAGUUUUCGGUUCGGCCGGACGAAACACAGGUGCUGCAUGGCUGUCGUCAGCUCGUGUCGUGAGAUGUUGGGUUAAGUCCCGCAACGAGCGCAACCCUCACUUUUAGUUGCCAUCAUUAAGUUGGGCACUCUGAAAGAACUGCCAGUGAUAAGCUGGAGGAAGGUGGGGAUGACGUCAAGUCCUCAUGGCCCUUACGUGUUGGGCUACACACGUGCUACAAUGGUACUUACAGUGAGAAGCAAAGAUGCAAGUCCUAGCCAAUCUCUAAAAUGUACCUCAGUUCGGAUUGUACUCUGUAACUCGAGUGCAUGAAGCUGGAAUUGCUAGUAAUCGCGGAUCAGCGCGCCGCGGUGAAUACGUUCCCGGGUCUUGUACACACCGCCCGUCACACCAUGGAAGUUGGUUACACCUUAAGGCAGAGCUUAUACCUCUGACUACGGUACGAUCAGCAACUGGGGUGAAGUCGUAA
rnacentral:rRNA from 1 species